CGCCCCCGGCCCCGCCCCCGCCCGCAGGCCCCCCGCAGCGGCCGCGGCGCCCCCCGGCGCCCCCAGACCCCGGCCUCCGGCACAGAGGCGGGAGACCCGGAGCAGCAGCAGAGGCAGGAGGACUAGGAGGAGGAGGAGGAGCCGUCGCAGGAUGAAGGAUCGGACUCAAGAGCUGCGGAGUGUGCCACCCCACCCUGGGCCAGGUCGGGCCCUGUGGGACGGGAGAAAUAGCAACCAAUCCAACAGCGGGUGUGCCGUGUGCUCACUUCCUUCUGUCCCCACGUGGGAUGGGCGCCGUGGGGAGGCGGACAUGGGGUGGGGGGACGGGAGGGGGAGCUGGACAGACAGAUGGACACGGUCGUGGAUGA
rnacentral:lncRNA from 1 species